AUAUUUUGCUCUUACUGCCAACAGACACUAUUUUGUCAGAAUACAGCAUUAAUGGUCUAAAGAAGAAAAAAAAGUUUGAAGAGUUGACAAGUUUAUGUAACGCUGUCACUGAAGCUGCUUUAAAGUCAAAUAAAAACUUAAC
rnacentral:lncRNA from 1 species